UGGUUAAUGGGAAAAAGUCGGUAUCUUUUGCUUCUUUUGAGGCAACAGCUGCACUCAAUACGACUGUGUCGCCAUAGCGAACUAAAACUGCGCCAUUGGCUUGUUUAGCAAGUUGACCGAUUUCAACUUGCAGAGGGCGUCCGCCCCAAGUGGUUUUGAAAACUUGUUUUUCUGACAUAACUUCUCCUUUUCCCUUUGACCAGUGCGACGCUACUAAACAAAUGGAAACAGCGAAAAACUUCGCUUCUUGCAUUUGGUUAGUAGAGUGACAACACGCCAAUCAAAGGUUUUUUAUUUUUUCUGAGUCAAGCUCAGGAUUGUCUCUGCUAAAUUUACUAUAAUCAAACCUUGCGAACUGGG
rfam:Trichuris trichiura, WGS project CBXK01000000 data, contig: TTRE_816